rnacentral:rRNA from 1 species
AUUGAACGCUGGCGGAAUGCUUUACACAUGCAAGUCGAACGGCAGCACGGGGCAACCUGGUGGCGAGUGGCGAACGGGUGAGUAAUACAUCGGAACGUGCCCAAUCGUGGGGGAUAACGUAGCGAAAGUUACGCUAAUACCGCAUACGAUCUACGGAUGAAAGCGGGGGAUCGCAAGACCUCGCGCGAAUGGAGCGGCCGAUGUCAGAUUAGGUAGUUGGUGGGGUAAAGGCUCACCAAGCCAACGAUCUGUAGCUGGUCUGAGAGGACGACCAGCCACACUGGGACUGAGACACGGCCCAGACUCCUACGGGAGGCAGCAGUGGGGAAUUUUGGACAAUGGGCGCAAGCCUGAUUCAGCCAUUCCGCGUGCAGGAUGAAGGCCUUCGGGUUGUAAACUGCUUUUGUACGGAACGAAACGGUUCUCUCUAAUACAGGGGGCUAAUGACGGUACCGUAAGAAUAAGCACCGGCUAACUACGUGCCAGCCGCCGCAGUAAGAC